rnacentral:lncRNA from 1 species
GGAGGAUGAGUAAACAAAAUAGGCUUCGUCUCCUUAGUGUAGAUAAUCACCUGCAACAAUAUGUUGAAGAUAGUAUACGUGCUAGAGAAGAUAUCAACAAACAAGUUUCAUUUUCCACCAUAAUAACAUGAAUAAUAAUCAAAAUUCGGUAUUGUUUAAAUAUUACAAAGUUAUAAAGGAUAAUAAUAAUUGAUCGAAUCAACAAUUUCACAUCAUAUUUUCUUUCUAUCGACGAUUUGUUACGAUCUGCGAGAAAAAUUGAAUCUAUUAGAGAAAGAUAUUAAAAUCUAGGGUUUUAUAAAAUCGGAAAAAUGAAUAACAGAUUGAUGUUUGUUGAAAUUACCUCUGUGACAGUUUCGUCCAGAAGGUGUUUGAUGGAAUUAGGAUCUAAUAAAUGGAUCUUUUUUAAGGGUAAGAUUUAUAAUGCCAAUCUCAAGGAAGAUUGGGUAAUAGUGGGGGGGUGGUGGUGGUGGGGCAGUGAGGAAGAGAAGAGAAGAGACAAGGGAUGAGAAAGAAGAGGAGAACAGGAAGCAGUGACUGUUGGUAGUGGGUUAGUUUAUUGAGAAGGAGAAGAGAGAGAGAGAGAGAGAGAGAGAGAGAGAGAGAGAGAGAGAGAGAGAGAGAGAGAGGAAGAAGAAGAAGUGGCAAUGGUGGCUAGUAGUGGCAGAGAAGGAGUUGAGGAAGAAGAUAAAGUUAAAGAACAUGAGCCGUUAGAUUAUGAUCAUCUGGAGAAUCAAACC